GUGGAGGAGCCGUACAGGACCUGUUUCACUGCAGGGGGAUCCAAAACAAGCCCCGUGGAGCCGCAGCUAGAGCUACAACAGCCGCAGGACACUGUGUCUCUCCCUCUGUUCCCCCUUCCCCACGCAACCCCAGAUCCAUUUACACUUUACAUGUGCAAAUAAGCCCUUGCCAAAAUAAAUACAAGAAGUGUCCGUUCUUGAUGGAGAACUGGGAAAGUCCGUAGACGUAUCCUGCACCGUUCAACGAGUCACCAGGGUGGUCCCUUCACGCUACGAAUCUGUCUGCCAUCCUGAUCCAACAGUCUCUUCCUCCACUCCCUCUGCAGAGAAGGGCAUCACAUGUCAGACAGCCUGUAAGAACCACUCACUGAGAACCAAGACGCAGAAGUGCCUGAGAAAAACCACUCAGAGGGAUGCCGAUUCGGACCUAAUUACAGGAAGUAAGCCAUCAAUCAGUCUCCUUUUUAUUCAAUUCAAAAUGACCGUGGCAUGACCUUGUUCUGACUACUCAGUAGGUUGAUGUUGCAGACAUACCUGUGCAUCCGGAAAACAUACUGUUUGGAAAGAACGAAUGAAACAAUUUGGGGGCGCCUGUUGCCCAGCCUUUGGCGUGGUGAGAUGGUGUACCUGGUAGAGGCUACUGGCUUUUAUUUGCACUCGAGAUUGCUCAGAACAACAGUGGGGGACCUUUAGGGAAAUGUGUGGCAGGAUGGCUUGGAGGGGAACCGCCCGCCAUCUUGAGUUAGGCCAAGAAUAAAAAGAGGUUUAUGGAGCAGGACUGACGUAGAAAUGAGGAGGUGGAUAUUCUCUUCCACCUCCAACCUGGUCAACUUCCUGGGCGUCAGCAGAGAGUGCUGGGCAGUUUCAGAACAGCUAGAGAAGGCCGUAGUAUCUGGGUCUCGCUCUGGGUCUCAGGUACACUGGCUCACAGAAAGAAGGUCCUGAGAACUAAUUCCUCGAAUUCCUUAUCUUGGCUUGUUUUCCCAGAAGCCUUUCAGGUAUCUACAAAGCAAAUUGUAUCAUUCUCUUCUGUAGCUGCAGGGGUACAAUUAUUUACCUAAGGUCUCACGCCAGCAGGGGAAGGAAUUCCUGUCCUCUGGGUGCCUUGGUUCCACCCAAAUAACAGGAGUAGAAAAGCUAGAUUUUUUAAGUGCUUCUUUGGAAAUCAGGGAAGAGGUAUUGCAGGGGUAGAAGAAAGAGAAGACAAGGAAACUCCUAGAGACCAGAAAAAUGACCUCUGAGUGAAGGCAGAGGCUAGCCGGAGGAGAGAGCUAGAUGCCUUAAAACAUGCUGUUCUGUCUGAGAGAUUUGAAAUCUGAGUGUCAGCAGGGUAGGGCCACAGUCUCCCUGCAAGCCAAAGAGCAGGGACCCUUGUGUCUUCCUGCUUCUUGAUUUUCUGGCCUGUGUCACUCUAGACUCUGCCUUUGUCUUCAUGGUAUCUUCCUGCGUAUCUUGCCCUUGCCCUUUCAGUCUCUUAUAAGGACACUGGGCUCUGGGUAAGGACCUGUGAUGCUCAGCGUCCUUGUCAACUUGGCUGUACUUAGAAUCCCCGUGGAGACACAUCUGUGUGCGAGUGUUUACACCGAGGUUUAAGUGAGGAGGAAAGACCCACCCUGACUGUGGGUGGCCUAACC
ensembl:lncRNA